rnacentral:rRNA from 1 species
GAGUAACACGUGAGCAACCUGCCCUGGACUCUGGGAUAAGCGCUGGAAACGGCGUCUAAUACUGGAUAUGAGCUCCUUCCGCAUGGUGGGGGUUGGAAAGAUUUUUCGGUCUGGGAUGGGCUCGCGGCCUAUCAGCUUGUUGGUGAGGUAAUGGCUCACCAAGGCGUCGACGGGUAGCCGGCCUGAGAGGGUGACCGGCCACACUGGGACUGAGACACGGCCCAGACUCCUACGGGAGGCAGCAGUGGGGAAUAUUGCACAAUGGGCGGAAGCCUGAUGCAGCAACGCCGCGUGAGGGAUGACGGCCUUCGGGUUGUAAACCUCUUUUAGCAGGGAAGAAGCGAAAGUGACGGUACCUGCAGAAAAAGCGCCGGCUAACUACGUGCCAGCAGCCGCGGUAAUACGUAGGGCGCAAGCGUUAUCCGGAAUUAUUGGGCGUAAAGAGCUCGUAGGCGGUUUGUCGCGUCUGCUGUGAAAUCCCGAGGCUCAACCUCGGGCCUGCAGUGGGUACGGGCAGACUAGAGUGCGGUAGGGGAGAUUGGAAUUCCUGGUGUAGCGGUGGAAUGCGCAGAUAUCAGGAGGAACACCGAUGGCGAAGGCAGAUCUCUGGGCCGUAACUGACGCUGAGGAGCGAAAGGGUGGGGAGCAAACAGGCUUAGAUACCCUGGUAGUCCACCCCGUAAACGUUGGGAACUAGUUGUGGGGACCAUUCCACGGUUUCCGUGACGCAGCUAACGCAUUAAGUUCCCCGCCUGGGGAGUACGGCCGCAAGGCUAAAACUCAAAGGAAUUGACGGGGACCCGCACAAGCGGCGGAGCAUGCGGAUUAAUUCGAUGCAACGCGAAGAACCUUACCAAGGCUUGACAUACACCAGAACACCGUAGAAAUACGGGACUCUUUGGACACUGGUGAACAGGUGGUGCAUGGUUGUCGUCAGCUCGUGUCGUGAGAUGUUGGGUUAAGUCCCGCAACGAGCGCAACCCUCGUUCUAUGUUGCCAGCACGUAAUGGUGGGAACUCAUGGGAUACUGCCGGGGUCAACUCGGAGGAAGGUGGGGAUGACGUCAAAUCAUCAUGCCCCUUAUGUCUUGGGCUUCACGCAUGCUACAAUGGCCGGUACAAAGGGCUGCAAUACCGUGAGGUGGAGCGAAUCCCAAAAAGCCGGUCCCAGUUCGGAUUGAGGUCUGCAACUCGACCUCAUGAAGUCGGAGUCGCUAGUAAUCGCAGAUCAGCAACGCUGCGGUGAAUACGUUCCCGGGUCUUGUACACACCGCCCGUCAAGUCAUGAAAGU